rnacentral:rRNA from 1 species
GUGGGGAAUCUUGCGCAAUGGGCGAAAGCCUGACGCAGCCAUGCCGCGUGAAUGAUGAAGGUCUUAGGAUUGUAAAAUUCUUUCACCGGGGACGAUAAUGACGGUACCCGGAGAAGAAGCUCCGGCUAACUUCGUGCCAGCAGCCGCGGUAAUACGAAGGGGGCUAGCGUUGCUCGGAAUUACUGGGCGUAAAGGGCGCGUAGGCGGACAGCUUAGUCUGAGGUGAAAGCCCAGGGCUCAACCUUGGAAUUGCCUUUGAUACUGGCUGUCUUGAGUUUGGGAGAGGUGAGUGGAACUCCGAGUGUAGAGGUGAAAUUCGUAGAUAUUCGGAAGAACACCAGUGGCGAAGGCGACUCACUGGCCCAAUACUGACGCUGAGGCGCGAAAGCGUGGGGAGCAAACAGGAUUAGAUACCCCUGUAGUCC